CCCCUAGAUGUCCUGGGCCGCACGCGCGCUACACUGAUGCAUUCAACGAGUUUUACCUUGGCCGAGAGGCCUGGGCAAUCUUUUAAACCUGCAUCGUGAUAGGGAUAGAUUAUUGCAAUUAUUAAUCUUGAACGAGGAAUUCCUAGUAAACGCAGAUCAUCAAUCUGCAUUGAUUACGUCCCUGCCCUUUGUACACACCGCCCGUCGCUCCUACCGAUUGAGUGGUCCGGUGAGGCUUUGGGAUCUGAGCGGAAAGAGCGUUUCGCUGUUUCUGCUCGGAAAACUCAGUCGAACCUUAUCAUUUAGAGGAAGGAGAAGUCGUAACA
rnacentral:rRNA from 1 species